rnacentral:rRNA from 1 species
UACAGAGGGUGCAAGCGUUGUUCGGAAUUAUUGGGCGUAAAGCGCGCGUAGGCGGCUUUUCAAGUCGGGCGUGAAAGCCCCGGGCUUAACCCGGGAAUGGCGCUCGAUACUGUUGAGCUAGAGUGUGGAAGGGGCUACUGGAAUUCCGUGUGUAGCGGUGAAAUGCGUAGAUAUACGGAGGAACACCAGUGGCGAAGGCGACUACCUGGCCUGUUCUUGACGCUGAGGCGCGAAAGCUAGGGGAGCAAACGGG